rnacentral:rRNA from 1 species
UUGCCCUACGGGGCGCAGCAGUGAGGAAUAUUGGUCAAUGGCCGGAAGGCUGAACCAGCCAUGCCGCGUGAAGGUCAGUGCCCUAUGGGCGUUAAACUUCUUUUGUGCGGGAGCAAUAAUGGUCACGUGUGGCCAGACGAGAGUACCGUACGAAUAAGCAUCGGCUAACUCCGUGCCAGCAGCCGCGGUAAUACGUAGGUGGCGAGCGUUAUCCGGAAUGAUUGGGCGUAAAGGGUGCGUAGGCUGCCUGCUAAGUCUGGAGUGAAAGGAACCGGCUCAACCGGUACAGGCUCUGGAAACUGGCG